rnacentral:rRNA from 1 species
UAGGGAAUCUUCCACAAUGGACGAAAGUCUGAUGGAGCAACGCCGCGUGAGUGAAGAAGGGUUUCGGCUUGUAAAACUCUGUUGUUAAAGAAGAACAUAUCUGAGAGUAACUGUUCAGGUAUUGACGAUAUUUAACCAGAAAGCCACGGCUAACUACGUACCAG